UACGAAGGGGGCUAGCGUUGCUCGGAAUUACUGGGCGUAAAGCGCGCGCAGGCGGCUAUCCAAGUCAGUGGUGAAAGCCCGGAGCUCAACUCCGGAACUGCCAUUGAAACUGUUUAGCUUGAGGAUGAGAGAGGUGAGUGGAACUGCGAGUGUAGAGGUGAAAUUCGUAGAUAUUCGCAAGAACACCAGUGGCGAAGGCGGCUCACUGGCCCGGUACUGACGCUGAGGUGCGAAAGCGUGGGGAGCAAACAGG
rnacentral:rRNA from 1 species